AUGGGGUCAGCUGCUCUCUUGCUGUGGGUACUAUUCCUCUGGGUUCCAGGUUCUACUGGGGACAUUGUGCUGACCCAGUCUCCACCUUCAUUGACUGUGUCUCUAGGGCAAAAAGCCACCAUGUCCUGCAGGUCCAGCCAGAGUAUCACUCUAGGUAGUAUUAUUCAUUAUCUUCACUGGUAUCAACAGAAACCAGGACAGCCCCCAAAACUCCUCAUCUAUGCAGCAUCCAACCUAGCAUCUGGGGUCCCUGCCAGGUUCAGUGGCAGUGGGUCUGGGACAGACUUCACCCUCACUAUCUAUCCUGUGGAGGCUGAUGAUGCUGCAACCUAUUACUGUCAGCAGAGUAAGGAGGUUCCUCCCACAGUGCUCCAGGGCUAA